AAAGCAAAGGCCGAGCGUUAUGUACUUAUGUUUAACUGACAAGUGAGGCACACAAGUGCACAACUUUGUCUCUGAAACUAGGGUUUUCCUUCUCAUCUCACUUUCUUCUGUAUAAAUUUGCGCCGUUGCUCUUAUUGUUCACCCAACUCAUCUCCCUCUCUUCUCACCAAUCUAUACUCCCUCUCUCUUAUUCUCUUAUCAAUACCAUAUUUUUAGACGCUCAAAAUUCCAAUUUCAUAUCAGAUCUCUUUGUAUUGUCAAUUGUGGUGCUGAAUAACAUGACGACUAUACGCUCUUCCCUCUUGAGUCUUGACAAAUCUGAAUAUGUUGGCACACUUACUUUGAUUAUGGAGAACUCAUGUCUCAUCAUGUCUGCAAGUUUAGUUAGGGUUUCAGUUUGGACAGGAUCUGAAUUAAGAAAAGUGGAGCUUUGGAUACAA